GUUACGCACGUACUUUAUGUGAGUCAAGCCAGAAAACACGGAAAAACUGCACGCUACAACAGCCCAGUAUGUCGAUUCCAAUCAAGGGGAGGAAUCAAGGCAGAGGGAGUACAUAGCUAGUCUUAUACGGGGCAGGGAAAGCACAAGCCUUAGACCAACAAUACAACAAUGAGACAGAACGUAGCAGGCCCUCAACACGUACAUGAUAGUUCACACGUACAUGAUCCAGUGAAGACAG
rnacentral:lncRNA from 1 species